rnacentral:hammerhead_ribozyme from 1 species
AUCCAUCUGACGAGUCCUAAAUAGGACGAAACGCGCGUCCUGCAU